ACACAUGGAUAACAUACUGAAAAGUUUACUAAUACAUGAUAAUAUAUAUUUGCGGCAUCGCAGAUAUAUCAAAGUGUUAGCGGUAUAGGAUGGACCCGCGUCUGAUUAGCUAGUUGGUGAGAUAACUGCCCACCAAGGCGACGAUCAGUAGCCGACCUGAGAGGGUGAUCGGCCACAUUGGAACUGAGACACGGUCCAAACUCCUACGGGAGGCAGCAGUGGGGAAUAUUGCACAAUGGGCGAAAGCCUGAUGCAGCAACGCCGCGUGAACGAUGAAGGUCUUCGGAUCGUAAAGUUCUGUUGCAGGGGAAGAUAAUGACGGUACCCUGUGAGGAAGCCCCGGCUAACUACGUGCCAGCAGCCGCGGUAAUACGUAGGGGGCUAGCGUUAUCCGGAUUUACUGGGCGUAAAGGGUGCGUAGGUGGUCCUUCAAGUCGGUGGUUAAAGGCUACGGCUCAACCGUAGUAAGCCGCCGAAACUGGAGGACUUGAGUGCAGGAGAGGAAAGUGGAAUUCCCAGUGUAGCGGUGAAAUGCGUAGAUAUUGGGAGGAACACCAGUAGCGAAGGCGGCUUUCUGGACUGCAACUGACACUGAGGCACGAAA
rnacentral:rRNA from 1 species